AGCUUUGCGCAGAGGCGAUAUCGUAACCAAUGAGGUUUAUCCGAGGUGCGAUUAUUGCUAGUUGCUAGUUGAAUGCUUGGAAAGAAAUUAAACAGUGAUCUUUUUGAAAGGUUCAAGUUAAGGAACCUUUCAAAGGG
rnacentral:snRNA from 1 species